GGUGUUCAGUCGUGCAUGCCAGGAGGGAUACCAUCAAUCAUACGUUCGUGGUGCAGUUGACCACGUGAGAGUCACUUACCGCAGUUCCCGUCCAAGACCUAUUUACUGUCGACUUCUUCAGUAUGCAAAUCAACACUUCAUCCUCAACGCUUCUAAACACCUCAAGGACAAGAAGUACCAGGGUCACGUUUUCAUCUCAGGCCAUAUUACACCCAAGCUGAGAGCUGAGCUUAUUAGGAUACAACUCCACACUGGUUCCGUAAAGAUUACACAGACCACACAUUUACGCGGCGGGUUCCAGAGGGAUUUCUUGAUGCUACCAGAAAAAACUACCGCACGGCAGCGAGGUAGAUACUCACCGCUAUGAUGUCACCUGGUUGCGUAUCAUUUCUACUAUCAGACACGAGGUGGAAUCGGCGAAUGACGCGCUCACAUUUGCUCAUCCGUUACAAGAUAAUAAGAUGCUUUGUCCACUUCAAACCAAACGACCUGAAAGAACUCUCAUGGGAGUUAGAGUGGUAAAAUCCGGUGUUUUCCAAAUGUUUUUCUUGGAGAGAUGUUACUAUGCAACUGAUGAGAUAGCGCCAAAUGCUCACAAAAACGAUUCUGCCGCCUGGGAGGAAUAUGGAUUUUCCGGCCACUGACUGUUUUCGUCACAAAUAUGCAUACAUAACCCGGAUGUGCUUCCGCUUGUGAACAAACAGAGCACAGGACGCUGCAGGCUUUACGUGUAUUGCCUCGGUAGAUUCAGGUUUGCAUUUGUAUUUAAUUGCUGAGAUAAUUCUUAUGUUACUGUAAAUCCUUGUUUGGGGGUUCUGUUCUUCAGAAGUUUUUUUCAUAAAUCAGCUUUAGUCGAUCAGGAUCUCUCACUAUAUUUUUGGUACCGAGCAGUGCUUGGUUUUAACAGUUAUUUGUAAUGUUUUUCUGUAUUACUAUUGCGUACUGAUACGGGUUAUCUGGUACUAAUUAAUCUCUUUUGCUUUAGCUCCAUUCGUUUUACAUUUAAGAGGGAAAGUUUUGCAGUGGCAUUAUUUGGCUGUGGGGGCUUCAGACUCAGGUUAUUUCAGCGUAGGCUUAACCGCAAGAAAGAUUUGCUUUUUCUCUAAGCAUUUAUCCCUACGAAAUCAGUACACAGUCAGACAGUGGUACACACCAUGUACAUGUACGUUCCAGCAUUGUAGUCACGUAAUACGUAAUGUGAGACUGACUAACUGUUAGACUGACUGCCAAACAAAAAGCCUCUCGCACAAAAAAGUGCGGCAUAAAACUCAUAUACGUUUUGUCGCCACAAAUCAUCCCUUCAUAUGAAAGAUAGUUUCAUUUAUCUGUAAAAAAGUUUCAGUAAUUGUUAUCAAGCUGGGUCAGGGUGCAGCAACCUAAAGUACAUCUAAACGUUGUAGACCCAAAAAUACAACCUCUCUUUAAACUUUUAUAUUUUUCACCAGUACCUCACAUAAUAGGGACAAAUUUCAUAUUAUUCGAUUCAGGACAUCGUGCUCUGUCUACUCACCACGCUAUUUUAACAGGCAAUACUUGUAAGCGUGUUGUUCAUAAAAAAAAAUUGCCAACUCUCACUUUUUCACGCGCAAGUCUCGCCGCUCAAACCGCACAUGUGGAUCGGCAAAGAAAUUAUGCAAUUUGACCUCAUUCUAGAGGGCGCUGCGGACUGACUGACCCGGCCCGGAUAUACAUGACGCAACAUAUCAAGGGUCGCAAGAAAAGCCUAUAGGUGGAUACCAUAGGCUAUUAAUGUUGGCAGUCACUUUGAAAACAUGCAAGAAACUCUUUCUAAAAAAUGUUAAGGAAGGGAGCAACAUCGUGUUCAACAUAUUGGCAACAAACGAAAGAAAAAUAUAUCUCAUUAUCCGUACAGAAACGGCCGAAUAUAUACCGAAGAGCAACUUUGUAAUCCAAAUGUGGACGGGACGAGUUCGGAAUAUUUCGGCUAUUUUCAGAAACUGGAGGCUAUCCUCUGGUUUUAGUCAGGUGGAAAGUGGGUGAUACCUGAUCCUUGAUUCGACGAAAAUAGUCGGAAUCAUUAGGUCUGGUAUCCAGACUAAUUGACUUUCUACAUCCCAGCCCGCUCCUAGUCUUUUCAUUUUUUUCACUCUCUCCCUUUGUGCCAACACUGACCAAUAGGCGUCCUCUGUAAACCUUCGAUUGCGUUUUUUUACCUCAGUCCAUGUAUUUUCUGCAGAACUGGGCAACUAAUACCAAUUAAAGAUACGUGUACACGCAUUUGCAUUCCAAAAUGGUGACUUUGAGAAUGCCCAAAGUUCCACAUGGCUCAACAUUUGUCUCAAGUCAUGAGAGGGUCAAUGCCGGUUCAGUUUCAUAACAUUACUUCUGUAGGGAGCAUUUUGUGAAUCUGGUAAAAAAAAGUGGCACAGUUGUGAAACGAGCUGUUGAUCUAGCACACUCGCACAUCAAAUACCGUGACAUUUGUUUCCAAUCUCGCAU